rnacentral:lncRNA from 10 species
UUAAAAUAGAGACCAACGUGGCCGGGCAGGAAGAGCAGGGUCCCGCCUUCAGGUGUUUGGGACUCAGCUGAGGGUGUGGGUGCCCCGCGGUGGGGGCUGAACCUUCCUGGGGUGUGGAGAGACGAAAGGAGCCCAGAUCCAAGUUCCCUCGUUCCCGCUUUGGCAUAAGUUGCCCUGGCGGUCUCAUGAGAGAGAGAAAGAGCUGGGACCCUCCUCGCCCCAGUGAGUGUGAUGUCUUGCUCCGGGUGUCCUGGGGCAACUUUCUAUACAGGCGGGACGUGGGUCUCCCAUCUAGUGUAACAUCAGACAAGGGUGUUGACUCUGCAGCACAGAACCAGUAGUUUGUGGAGAAGAAUGGAGGUGUGGUGUUGAAUCUGCUAGACAGGCUACUGAAGCAAAAGUCAAGAGAUCCAGAUUCCAUCAUGUUCUCUUUGCAGUUCUUCAUCGGGUAAUUGAGCUGAUAUCAGGUGUCUGAAGGAGGCAAGUUUUGAAGAUGUGGGUCAUGAUGGCUGCUGAAGCUUCCACUCCAUAUUUGAAGGUCAGCAGUUCUCAGGAAACCUCUAGCACUUCCAUCCCUGGUGGGAUGUGAUCUCCCUUCUAGUGUAACAUCAGAGAAGGGGUGUACUCUGUGCCCUAGAACUAGGAGCUAACAGAGAAAAACCAAAUGUGAUGUGGAGUCUGCUAGACAGGCUACUGGAGCAAGAGUGAAGCGAUGAAAGUCUCAUCAUUUUUUCUUUCUAGUGUGACAUGCAUAAAGGAAUUUCUUAUUGAGCCCCAGGAAGAAGAAACACUACAUAAGAGCAAAUAAUAAAAUCGGUCAGAUAGACAGAAGAUGGGAGUCAUCAAACCUGUAUCCCUCUUGCCAGACCUAUCAACUGACCUCUAUUUCAUAGGGCACAAUUAUUUUAUCUUGGAACCAACAAUCUUCGGAGAAUGUAUCCCAAAGAUACAAUUCAAAAAGAUAAAAAGGCAGAAGCACAAGGUCAUUCUUGGCAGAACAAAUUGUAACAGCAGAAGACUGGAAAUAAGACAGAUGUCCACCAAUAAAGGACUGACUGAAUAAUCUAAGGUGCAUCUACAUCCUAGAUUUCAAUGCCGGUAUAACAAGCAAGGAAGAUUCCCUCUCUCUGCUGCUAUGUAGUGAUUUCCAGGAUAUACCAUUAAGUGAAU